rnacentral:snRNA from 1 species
GUGCUCACUUUGGCAGCACAUAUACUAAAAUUGGAACGAUACAGAAAAGAUUAGCAUGGCCCCUGCACAAGGAUGACAUGCAAAUUCGUGAAGCAUUCCAUAUUUUU